AGGGGUGUAGCUCAAUUGGUAGAGCAACGGUCUCCAAAACCGUAGGUUGCGGGUUCAAGUCCUGUCACCCCUGC
rnacentral:tRNA from 1 species